CUCUCUCUCUCGAACCCGUGCGUGGUUCUGAGCCUCUCAAAAUCUUCGAAGAAUCAAAUCUUUCGACCCAUUCGAUUUCAUCUGACGUCAAAUCGAUUCGAUUCACAUCAGUCGAACAAUUGCUGCAGUACUGCUGGUGAGUACGACCUUCAAUGGUUUUGGAUUAGAAGCUUUGGAUUGUUGAGUUGAGGAGCACCGAGGACUAAGUUUGAUGUUUGAGGGAGAAGAAGGCAAAGUCAAAUCAAUUGAAGGACUAAGUUUGUGGCUCUCGAUGGUGGAACUCUGAAUUGUAAGCAAGACUCUAUUCAAUUGAAGGUGUUCCAUUCUCAACAAUUCAAGAAAUCUUACAAUCAAGGCCGGCUUAGAACUGGAGCAACGUAGGAGCACUGCCAGCAUUCUUAUUCUUUUCAACUAAAAUGGAUUUGCAGAAACUUCGAGUCUUUGAGUGAGGCAGGGAGCACAACAAGCAAAUAUUAAGUGACGAUGAGAUGAAAUUUGAGUCUUUGAAUACUUUGUUUUCAACUAUUGUCCACUUAGUUAUUGUAUCAUUUGUAUGAACUGUAAGUGAUGAUAUGAAGUGAUGAACUGAUGAUGAGAUGAACUGUAAGUGAUGAACUGAAGUUGAUGUGAAAGACUGAGAGUUAUUUGCUUUUUUUUCAUUUGCUUAUGGUCUGGGC